GCGGGUAUCGUAUGAUGGCUAUUACCUCAGCCUUCCAAGCUGAUAACGUGGGUUCGACUCCCUCAAUCCGCU
rnacentral:tRNA from 1 species